rnacentral:rRNA from 1 species
AGACUUAGUCCUAACCUUACUGUUGGUUGUUGCUAGGUUUAUACAUGCAAGUAUCCGCGCGCCAGUGUA